rnacentral:rRNA from 1 species
GGCAAGACUGUGAAGUGGAGCAAAACUCAAAAAACCGGUACCCCAGUUCGGACUGCAGGCUGAAACUCGCCUGCACGAAGUUGGAGUUGCUAGUAAUCGCAGAUCAGAAUGCUGCGGUGAAUGCGUUCCCGGGUCUUGUACACACCGCCCGUCACACCACGGGAGUCGGUCGCGCCUGAAGCCGGUGGCCUAUCAGUAAUGGGGGAGCCGUCUAUGGCGAGAUUGGUAACUGGGGUGAAGUCGUAACAAGGUACC